UUACAGCCAUAUCACGUUGAAACCCCGGUUCCCGUACGAUCACCGAAGUUAAGCAAUGUAAAGCUUGGUCAGUAUCUAUAUAGGUGACCACUUGGGGAUAUCAGGUGCUGUAA